GACGAACGCUGGCGGCGUGCUUAACACAUGCAAGUCGAACGGAAAGGCCCUGCUUUUGUGGGGUGCUCGAGUGGCGAAUGGGUGAGUAACACGUGAGUAACCUGCCCUUGACUUUGGGAUAACUUCAGGAAACUGGGGCUAAUACCGGAUAGGAGCUCCUGCUGCAUGGUGGGGGUUGGAAAGUUUCGGCGGUUGGGGAUGGACUCGCGGCUUAUCAGCUUGUUGGUGGGGUAGUGGCUUACCAAGGCUUUGACGGGUAGCCGGCCUGAGAGGGUGACCGGCCACAUUGGGACUGAGAUACGGCCCAGACUCCUACGGGAGGCAGCAGUGGGGAAUAUUGCACAAUGGGCGGAAGCCUGAUGCAGCAACGCCGCGUGCGGGAUGACGGCCUUCGGGUUGUAAACCGCUUUCGCCUGUGACGAAGCGUGAGUGACGGUAAUGGGUAAAGAAGUACCGGCUAACUACGUG
rnacentral:rRNA from 1 species